AGCAGAGACACAGGCAGAGGGAGAAGCAGGUGCCCAGGACCCGGGGGGUCACGACCUUAGCCCCAGGUGGACACGCUCAACCACUGAGCCCCCCAGGUGCCCCUGGAAACAAAUUCUUAACCCAUUUGUCCAUUAAUACUGUAUGACCAGUGUGCAUGUUCUCAGUCAGCGGGUGUCAGCAGGGCUCACCUUCAUGGGCGGGGUGGGGGGCGGUGGGGAACGACACUGUAUUCCAUUUCUCGAUGCUACUAAGGGGUGGGGAGCGCCGCUGGACACCCUGGGUGGCAGUUGAGGUGCGAAGGGGUGUCCAGCAGAAGGCGCUGCUGGUGGGGGGGGCAGAGGUGCAGCCCCGCAGGGAGGGGCCGAGAGAGGAGAGGGACGUUCUGGGACAGCGCCCAGCGGCGAGGUGGCUCCCAGCCCAGCCUAAUGCAGGGGGCUCCUCGUCGGCCUGGGUCUCUGGGACAGGGAGAGCUUUUGAUAAGCACAGAUUUCCCAGCAGCGCCCCUGAAGGUUCUGGUGUCAUGGGGCCCCUUGGAAGGUGUUCCCUGUGAUUUUGAUGAUCAGGAGGUUUGGGACUCGUUGGUGGAAACACCCACCUCCUAGGGGGCCGAAAGAGUGGGAAGACAAACCUGGUUCUCACUCCCAGGCUUGUGCUUUGCAGCUGUGUGGCCUUUUGCAGCACCCCCUCCACCCCCACCCCCACCCUGCAGACCGGAUGGCCAUGCCUACCUCCUAAUGUUAAGGGUGAAAGGACAUCCAGGUAUAAAGGAGCUGAUGGUAAGUGUUCAAAGCCAAGUUAGUCUCUAACCUGAAUCGAAGGUGGAGAAGGUGUUCUGAGACCUCUCCUGGGUCUUCCCCUCUCUCUCCCUAGAAAGGAGACUGUCCCAUCCAACCAUUUGAGAGUUGUCUACAAUGUUUAGUUCUAGAAUCUCUGCCUACACUUGUCUUUAGUUUGUUUGCUUUUCUUCCAGGAGGCAAUCAAGAACAGUUUAAGGAGAUGAGAGAGAGUUCUAGGUUCUAGUUAGAAGGGAUCGUGCAGCAUCUGGUUGAUCCCUUUUGUUUCUCAGGUGGGGAAACAGGUGCGGAGAGGUUGCUGCUUACCCACGGUCACACUGCUGAUUAGCAUUAGGCCAUGGGCCUGUGUGCUCCCCAGUGCUCACAGCUGCCUCUGGAGGGUUAGUGGUCAGAAUAUUCGGGUCUUGCUCUUGUCCUCCAGAAAAAAGGACGGUGUUUUGUUUUGUUUUGUUUUGUUUUGUUUUGUUUGAAACAUCAGAGUUUCUUGCUCUCCCAUUUCAGGGUCGUUAUUACUGCCUUAUCCAACAAAACAGACUUGAACAAAAGAGGAAAAAUAGUGACGCUACUACUACUACAUACCAUCGUUAAACCAGUGGGCAUUCUCCAAGUGUUCAGGCACGUCAUCAUCAUCAUGUGGAAUCCUCAACUCAUCCUAUUCAUUCUUUCAUCAAAUAUUUGUCAGGACUUCAAAGGAUUCCGAGCACUGUGCAUGCUGCAAUGGGCAAACAGGCCCCCUGCUCUCAGGCAGCCUGCAUCCUGCUGAGAACUGCAGACUGACAAUGACAAUCACACAAGUAAACAAGAUAAUUUCAGAUAGCAUCAAGGGCUUUGAGAACAACGGACGGAGUGAUAGGAAGUGACCGGCCCCCACAAGGGAGCUGAGGCCCGGGGCCAGAGAGGCCUCUCCCAGGAGGUGAAGUUCGAGCAGAGACCUGGAUAGUGAGAAAGAGCCCACCAGGGAGCAAGGUGCGGGAGCUCAGUGCGUUCAAAGACCCAGAAGGAGGCAAGCCAUGUGAAGACUCAGCAAGAAGAUGGCUUUGCCAGCUCCCUGAUCUUGGCCUUCCAGCCUCUGGAACUGUGAGAAAUGGAUUUCUCUUGUAAGCCACCCCGUCUCUGGCAUUUUGUGACAGCAGCCCAGACUGGCCGAGACACUUACCCAGGUCCUGCCUCCUUUGGUCCCGCGCUUCUUUCCAAGAAGAAAACGUAGCAUCCCUCACCCCUAUGUGUGUCUCAUUCGUCCCCUUUGGCAAGUGACAUGUCAGCCACCACCCCUCUCAGGCCCUCCGGCUCCUGCCUCCAAGCUGGCCCCUCCUGAGAGGGGUCCCGCUGCCCCUCUGUCUGCCCCCCCAGACCUCACCCAGACCUGUGGCCGGGCCUCCUGCUUGCGGGGCUUCAGUGAUGCUGCGUUCAUCUCCAGCUCCUCCCUGGGCCUGGGGCUCUGCACCCACAGAGCACAGGCUCUCCCAGACACUUGCAACCAGCUUGCAACCAGCCCCCCACAGAGCCGACACCUUUGUGUCUAACCCGCCCCCUUUCCAAGGUCACCGUGCUGUGCGUGGCACCACCAGACGGCCUGUGGUCUCAGCCAGGAGCCCAGGUCCUACCUCAACCACUUGCCAGGUGAGUCAGGUUCUCCGGGUUCUCCAUCCUUGUCUCUCUGGCCUCUCCCCACUCCCCCUGUCACCGGCUUAAUUUAGCUCUUCGACUGAGAACCUGUACCCUCGCUUCAAGAUUUGCUCAGCUCAAGUGUCAUCGCCCCCAGGAAGCCUUCCAAAAGUCUGCUCAGACCAUUAUGUAAUUGUUGGGUUAUCUUUUUUCCUCUCCCAUCGGACCAUAAGUCUCUGCAAAGGCACUCCCCCCACCCCCCUUGUACCCAGCACGGCACUUCAUCAGUGAUUCUCAACUACUCGAUCGUGUAAAUGUGCAAAUGGGUGAAGCAGGGUCUUUUUUUUUUAAAGAUUUAUUUAUUCAUUCAUUCAUUCAUUCAUUCAUUCAUGAUAGACAGAGAGAGAGAGAGGCAGAGAGACACAGGCAGAGGGAGAAGCAGGCCCCAUCCAGGGAGCCUGAUGUGGGACUCGAUCCCGGGUCUCCAGGAUCAGGCCCUGGACGGAAGGCAGGCCCCAAACUGCUGAGCUACCCAGGGAUCCCCAAAGGAAUUCAUGCUUUAAAAAAAAAAAUGUUUUUAAUUUAUUUAUUGACAGACACAGAGAGAGAGAGGCAGAGACACAGGCAGAGGGAGAAGCAGGCCCUGUGCAGGGAGCCUGAUGCAGGACUCGAUCCCGGUCUCCAGGAUCACAUCCUGGGCCAAAGGCAGGCACUAAACCGCUGAGCCACCAGGGAUCCCCUUAAUAUUUAUUUUCCACAGGUGGGAUUUGUGGUCAAAUAUGGGUGUUUCCAUUCAACCUACCACGUUCCACAGAUUUUAUCAGGUUUUUCCCGGGCAUAUUUUCUCUUGUUCUCUUUCAUUCUCUACUAAACACAUGUGGAAGCAAGACUCAAGACUGGGAAUACACACUAGUGGCGGGAGAUGCCACCCCAGUUUCCUGGACCAGAAAAUGAAGUGAGUAAGCAUCUUCAAAGGAAGUUAAGGUUGUAAACUGCAGUCAGACAAAAUUAGCAAGCAGCAAUUCCAUGGGCCUGCCUGGGGGAGUGACUUUCCAGCCCCCCACGGCUGGCCGUGGGUGGGAACACCAGGGGGACACCUUACCUCGCUCCUGUUCUCCCGGGGAGUAGGCCACUACGGCUCGAUUUUAGGCAAAGCGUCGUUAGGGAUGGAGAGCAGGUAAAGAGGGGCCAGCGUGGGGCCGUCGGCAUGGCAUUCCCGCAGAGGGUGGAGGACAGGAGGCGACUCUCCGCCUGGGCUUGCCAAUUCCCAGAUUGUCUUCGCUGAUUAUAAUGUACCGAACAUCAAAAAAAAAAAAAA
rnacentral:lncRNA from 1 species